rnacentral:lncRNA from 1 species
CCAAACCCACUUUUCUUUCUCUUCCUCCCGAUUUCCUCUCCUCACCCGUCCCGCACCCGAGCCUCCCGCUGCCCGGUUUUCCGGCCGUCCUCCCGCCGCCGUCCGGCCGCCCCAGACCGCCGCACCGGUCCCGUUCGGUCGACCUCCAACCCAGCAACCUUCCUGGACCGGUGAGAGGAGCCCUAGCGCCGCCGUGAGUGAGCGGUGCCGCCCGAAAGCUUCGACUGCCGAAUUGGUUUUCUUGCUGGAACUUCCUCCUCCGGCCACCAAUCCGGGCAAGCUUGGUACGGUUUUGUAGCCCUCCUCCCGUACAACAACCCCUCCAAGUAGCUCCCUCCCUCUUGAGCUAGGUAAGGAGAAAUGUGGAGUUGAAAUUUCUAGGCUUUUAAGUUAUUUUCGUUCGAUUAGCCUAGUUAGGCUUGGAAUUGGGUGAUGUGUUGGUCAUGAAAGUUGUAGAGGAGAUUGAGAGGAAGAUUCUGUUAAAAUUUGGUAGCAUUUGCAGGUCGCCGGAAAACGGCUGCCGGCGGAGCCGCCGGCGGCGCCGCCGCCAGUUAGGAGAUUUUUAUGGUUUUUGAUGUAGAAUAUUAAGGGGAUAUUAUUGAAGUGAAUUAUGGAAUUUUUGGAUGAGAUUUGGAUAGGUUUGUGAAUUUCCGAAGUUUGGUAUUUUUGGCGGUUAAUUAAUGUAGAAUCCGGCCGUAGGAUUUAAGUCGUAUUUUGGAGAGGUGGUAUUUACGACUGUUGAGUAUGAUAUUUAAGUUCGGAUUGUUCCGAUGUAAGAAUAUCGAAGUUAGGCAAUGAUGAGCGUAUUAAUGGCUCUCGGGUAAUUUUGCCUAUUUUGAUUAAAUAUUGGAUAUUGGUUGGGAAAUUAAUAUUAUAUUUGGAACAGGACGUGAAGAGGCUCGAGCAGACGAGACCCCAGAUUGACAUCAGGCUUAGGCCUAAUUCGUGAGUGGACGUUUAUUU